AUUGAACGCUGGCGGCAGGCCUAACACAUGCAAGUCGAACGAGUGGCGGACGGGCGAGUAAUGUCUGGGAAACUGCCUGAUGGAGGGGGAUAACAAAUGGAAACGGUAGCUAAUACCGCAUACCCUCAGAUGUGCCCAGAUGGGAUUAGCUUGUGGGUGGGGUAACGGCUCACCAAGGCGACGAGCCCUAGCUGGUCGGAGAGGAGGACAAGCCACCCUGAAACGGAGACACGGUCCAGACCCCUCCGGGAGGCAGCAGUGGGGAAUAGUGCACAAUUGGAGCAAGCCUGACGCAGCCAUGCCGCGUGUAUGACGAAGGCCUUCGGGUUGUAGAGUAAUUUCAGCGGGGAGGCGUUACCCGCAGAAGAAGCACCGGCUAACUCCGUGCCAGCAGCCGCGGUAAUAC
rnacentral:rRNA from 1 species